rnacentral:rRNA from 1 species
GAUGAACGCUGGCGGCGUGCCUAAUACAUGCAAGUCGAGCGAACAGAUGAGGAGCUUGUUCCUCUGACGUUAGCGGCGGACGGGUGAGUAACACGUGGAGAACCUACCUAUAAGACUGGGAUAACUUCGGGAAACCGGAGCUAAUACCGGAUAAUAUAUUUAACCACAUGGUUCAAUAGUGAAAGACGGUUUUGCUGUCACUUAUAGAUGGAUCCGCGGCGCUUUAGCUAGUUGGGAAGGUAACCGCUUACAAAGGCAACGAUGCUUAGCCGACCUGAGAGGGGGAUCGGCCACACGGGAACUGGACCACGAUCCAGACCCCUACGGGAGGCAGCAGUGGGGAAUCUUCGGAAAAGGGCGAAGUCCUGACGGAGCAACGCGGCGUAGGUGAGGAAGGUCUUCGGUUCGUAAAACUCUGUUAUUGGGGAGGACCAAAUGUGUAGGUAACUACGCACGACGUGACGGUACCUAAUCAGAAAGCCACGGCUAACUACGUG